GUACACGCUGUGACUAGCAUAUCAAUAAGCGGAGGAAAAGAAACUAACAAGGAUUCCCCUAGUAACGGCGAGUGAAGCGGGAAGAGCUCAAAUUUGAAAUCUUAAAGGGUUUCCCUUUACGAAUUGUAGUUUAAAGAAGUGUUUUCUGUUGAGGUUUUGGUAAAAGUUCUUUGGAAUAGGACAUCAUAGAGGGUGAGAAUCCCGUAUUUGACCUUUACUUUCAACUUUGUGAUACACUUUCAAAGAGUCGGAUUGUUUGGGAAUGCAGUCCAAAAUGGGUGGUAAAUUUCAUCUAAGGCUAAACUAUUGGCGAGAGACCGAUAGCGAACAAGUACCGUGAGGGAAAGAUGAAAAGAACUUUGAAAAGAGAGUUAAACAGUACGUGAAAUUGUCAAAAGGGAAGCGUUUGACACCAGUGUUGUUUUUCUGAAAAUCAAUUAAAGAACUGUUUAUGCUAAGUUGUUUAGACUUUAUCAGCUAACUGUUUAGUUUUGAGCUUUUCUUUAAUGCACUUUUCAGUUAACAAGUCAACAUCAAUUUCUUUUGCUGUAAAAAAGCUUGAGGAAGGUGGCUUGAGAUUCGUCUUAAGUGUUUAUAGCCUCUUGCCUAUGCAGUCGGAGAGAUUGAGGUCUGCAGCGUAGAUCCUUCGGGGCUAAAUGCAUUUGUGCUAAGUUAUAGCAUUUUUAUAGACAACUUGUUGACUAUGAUUUGUCUUGUAGCUUACUCGCUUAUGUUAUUUUACCUACGCUUAGGAUGUUGACAGCAGUAUAGACUGU
rnacentral:rRNA from 1 species